rnacentral:rRNA from 1 species
UUUAUAUUUCCACCUGUGCACCUUUUGUAGACCUCCCCAGGUCUAUGUUGCUUCAUUUACCCCCCAAUGGAUGUUAAUAGAAUGUUGUGUCUAUAAAAUCUAUACAACUUUCAGCAACGGAUCUCUUGGCUCCUCGCAUCGAUGAAGAACGCAGCGAAAUGCGAUAAGUAAUGUGAAUUGCAGAAUUCAGUGAAUCAUNGAAUCUUUGAACGCACCUUGCGCUCCUUGGUAUUCCGAGGAGCAUGSCUGUUUGAGUGUCAUUAAUAUAUAUCAACCCAAUUCUGGUGGAGUGGUUUGGAUUUGGAGGGUUUUGCUGGCUGCUUAAAAGGUGCCAGCUCCUCUGAAAUGCAUUAGUGGAACAACCUGUCCAUUCAUUGGUGUGAUAACUAUCUACCCUGUUGAAUGGGAGGCCAGUUCAGSUAUCUAACAGUCCUUUGGAAAAAAUUAUCAUUUAAUGGGACCUCAAA